UACGGGGGGGGCAAGCGUUGUUCGGAAUUACUGGGCGUAAAGGGCUCGUAGGCGGCCAACUAAGUCAGGGGUGAAAUCCCGGGGCUCAACCCCGGAACUGCCUUUGAUACUGGGUAUCUCGAGUCCGAGAGAGGUGAGUGGAAUUCCGAGUGUAGAGGUGAAAUUCGUAGAUAUCCGGAGGAACACCAGUGGCGAAGGCGGCUCACUGGCUCGGUACUGACGCUGAGGUGCGAAAGCGUGGGGAGCAAACAGG
rnacentral:rRNA from 1 species